CCUGCCGACAGCCCCUCCAUCCCUAUCGUCUCUCUCUCCCCUUAUCCUAUCUCCCCUGCUCUCCCAUUUUCAACUCAUCCCCACACCACGCGCCACCCACCCCAGCUCCAUCCACGGCGCAUCUGCUCAUUCCCGCGUCCCUCCCUCCACAGCUCGGCGGCCCGACGGCCUGCCCUUCUCUCUCCAUGGCGCGACGGCCCUGCUCCGGUCCUCACGGCGCCCCUGUUGCUCAACUUCCUCCCACAGGUGGCGGCGCAGGGGCGCGGGUGGCUGCAAGGGAAGGAGGAGCAGCACGGCUCAUCCAUUUGCUUCCUCGUCCAUCGACACGCUGCUAGUCAACUUCUUCCAUGCAUGGUGGCCACAACGAGCUCCACCACCUGCGUUGCUGUCUCCCAUCGCCCCCAACGAGGUCCUCCACGCACUCACCUUUUAGAUCGAACGCCCCGCAUCCUGCUAGAGCUGGAGCUCGGCUCCCAAGGCGCCACCAUCAGCAACUACUUCUUGACUCUCUCUCCAUUACGGAUUGCUUUUUUUUCCCAGAUCUUUUUUUUUCUGUAUUUGUAUUCUGUUGAGAUCCAAAAGAAUGUUCCUGGUCUGGAGCCACAUCUUGGCUAUUUUUGUGAUCACGCACGGGGAUGUGAUUUCAGGUUGUACUGCUCAAGAUCCAUGCGCCUCUCUGUAUGUUCUAUAAAUUCUGAGUUUUCUUCCAGCAGAAAUGUUAUUGACGAUUUGAUCUGUUUCCCCAUGCUACAAUUUUUAUCUCUCUUGUCGUGCUAGGCGGGGACACAGCUCUGAGGAUCGCGUCGGGAUGAUGAUGUCUAGCGCCCUGCGCGCUGCCGGCCUGCAUCCCCUUCCUCUGCGAUGCGGCCGGCGAGCUCCUCCAAGACCUGCUGUAACCGCUGUUUCUGCCGAGCCGGACCGGGGACGAGCGAUGUCAGCCGUGGCGCAUGAUUCUUGUUAGAUCUUUUGUGGAUACACACAGAUUUAGACACUUGGAGAAAUCGAUUGUUGGUGGUUUGAGUAAAAACUUGCCUUGUCAAAUAUGGUGGUUGUUGCAAAAAUAUAUUAUGUGCUAAUCCGAAGAAGCAGCUUACAGUUCUCUUUCACAUGUCCAGUGAGUGACGCUCUCACGUCAGGUGUUUGUGCCGAUCGGACUUGUAUCUGUAAAUUGUAAAAUGUUGUUGAUCAAUGAAUUUUCCUGUUGGAUGAAA